GUAUAACCUUUACGACUUGGAAAGUUCUAAACCCCUGACUUCAUGCUUCCUCUUCCCUAUGGAAACAUCUGUGUUGGUGUAUUUCAUGACUCAGGUUUUCUUCAGCAGCGAGGAUCAAAAUGAAUAAAAACCAGAGAAGAAUUAGUAAAAUAUAAUUAACUGAAAUUAAG